GUGUAGAUAUUCUAAUGGUUAAGCUGCUGGACUCCAGCCGAAAGGUCCUGGGUUCGAUCCCCAGUGUCCACA